ACGAAAUGUAUUCAUGACUCAGAUCCAACGUUAUUUAAAUUGCCGUGGAACAGCGGUUAUCACAUAUGCUUGUUGUGCAGAAGGUCCCAGGUUCGAGCCUGUGGUUAUGGUGUUGGCGUGUCCGAAAGGAAAGUGCAAGUCAUGGUGUUUUAUUUUUUACUCCCAAAUUCCAUCUUAUACUUUAAAAAAGGUCGCAUCCAGUUUACGGGCAUAAAUAACUUUACAAGUAGCAAAUAAUUUUCCU